AGGUCGAUUGAGCGGAAUUAG
rnacentral:misc_RNA from 1 species